rnacentral:lncRNA from 1 species
GUUGCUUGGGAACCAUGUUCACAAAGCUGAUUCCAGGGCAGCAGGUUACACGGAUAGUGUUUACGUUUCUUUUUUUCCUUCAUUGUCAGAUCAUACUCAAAUGCCUUCUUAAAACGUUAUAACAAAAAAAAAAACAGUACGUUAAGACAAAAGAUGAGUGAAUGUUUAAUGUGCAGUGGCUUUCAGUCAACUUCAGUAAGGAGUGAAGGGCACACUGCUUACUGUCAUGUGUUUGGAAGUCACUAUCAAGAGAGCUUAGUCAAGCUGAUAUGGAAAUAUUUGGAUUUGGAUCCGCAUCAUAAAUUGCUCUACAUGGGAGAAGAUGGGGAACACCUGAUUCCAGCCCUGGAGAAGACUUUGGUACUUUUACAUCCAGUGUUGUGGGGAGAGACUGCUGAUCCCAAAGAGAUUAACAGUGACAUCGAAGGGUUACAACACCUAAAGAAAGGCAGUUUUGACAAGGCUUUGCUUGUCAAUGCCUUGCCGUAUUUAGAGAGCCCAUCGCAGAUGUUCAAAAAAGUCUUCAGUUUACUGAGUAAGUCUGGUGCAGCUCUCCUGAUUCACCGUCCUGCACCGGUGACAACGCUUCCUUUCUUCAGGAAAGCCAAAGACAAGAUGGGAGAACAGGAUUAUCCCUUUGAGAAAAUCUUUGAGAGUCUGAGGUUAGUUGAAGCCGAGCUGGAGUGGGAACUAGAAUCUGUUCCAGUAAAAAUGAGAAAGGAAGAAUGGCUUUCUUUGCUGGGAAGGAAGUGUGUGCCCAUGCUGCAGUGUCUAAGUGGUCAGGAUAUUACUACGGGACUACAGGAGCUAAGAGAAGGGUGCCUCAAAUACUCUGAGGACACUCUGUGCUUUGAGGACACACUGCUGUUCAUCGUCGCUCACAAAGGGCAAGCGAGCCGCGCUGUGGGUCCCGUAAUCCAGCGCUCCGGUCGGACUCACCUGCUUGCUCACGGGCCUGAGGAUGUGACGUAUAGAUUACCGCUGGCUGAAGACAUGGUCAAAUACCUGAGGUCACCCCUCCAAGCACAUCUAUCAUCUUAAAGGUCCGUUUAAUAUGUAAACAAAUUACUUUUACUAUUUUACUUCAUCAAUAAAAUAAUAAAAACACGUACCCCUUUUUGUGGUUCUGUGGCAUUACAGGGCUUCUUUGACAGUGAAUGUAAUUGAAAAGGGCAAAGGUUAAAUAUUAUAUGUUUCUACCACAUUUCACGAAUUGAAAGAAACUAUUGCUGCACAGACAAUAUAAUUUAUAAAUCGAUGGCUGAUUGAAUUACUCAUAUUUUUCGACGCAUUCUGCGAUAUGUAUUACUCAUAGAAACCAGACAGUCUGGAUACUAAUAAAACAGCAAUUAACUGCAGUGCUUUCUGACUGAAGUGAAUGGGUAUUGACCUUUGUUUGACAGCCUGUUGGGUUAAAGUGUUUAGACAAAUGAAUUCACUGUAGUCACAGUAGUCUUUUAUAAUGAUUAGCUCAUUCUGUCUGCUUUCCUUAACCUUUUUAUUCCGCAGCAAAGGAAACUAUACUUUUGUAUGAUCCUGUCCAAGAACACCUGGUGUUGUAAAUGUUGCAUAAGUGAUAAAUAACACCCGUUCAGUCUCUGUUUCACUCUAAUAAAAAUGAAAUUGCUUCAAACUUGCCAUGUCUAAAUUAACCAAGGUCCAGCAGUGCACUGAACAAUACACAUCGUAGUCAUUCGUUCAGAUCUUUCCUGCUUCUGGUAUAAUGCAAAUAAUUGUUUCCCUUUUUUGUGGUCGAAGGAUAUAAUUCAUUUGUUGCAUAGUUCUAAUUUAGAUCUUUCAGUUAAUGGUAAAUAAAUCCUUGGUCCUUUUGCGAUGAUAUUGUAAAGACGCAGAAAAUAUGGUUAAUAAAUAUGGUUACGAAAACAUUCACCUCACAUAUUAAAUCAUCAAAACAUUUUUUUUUUAAAUGUAACAGUUCGGAAUGCAUGGAUUUCUUAAUUGAUAUUAAAUAUUCAGUGAGAUUCCGAUUCUCAGUGCGGCAGUGCCACCCUGAGUCGGGCCUUCCAUUAGCCAGUAUAAUGUGGAUUAUGACGCCUCCUUGUGGUGAUAAAGUGCAAUGAAUAACUGUACGUAUAGGUGUUAGGUAAAAGAUUUGUUUUUAAAGGGGAAUAGUAAAUAUCAAGAGCGGUAAAGCUUUUCAUCGACGGACUAUCAUUAUGCUUCAUUUAUUGCUAAAGACUGCAAUGUCAUUAUUGAUUUAUUUAUAAUACUGUCGCCGAUUAUUCCGUCGAAAAUUCAGUGGCACAGAGAGCGAAUGGGAUCAUUUUUAGUUAUUGAUACAGUAAUCAGAAACGGUACAAAAUUUAAAUGAAAAGGCGAAAAUGUACCCCUUUUACACCCCAUAGCUUUCUUUUAAUAUUGGAAAGUAACGUUUGGGUAGAAGGGAUUAGUUUGUAACGUUUACAUGUUAGGUUUUCUACAAACGUUGUAUUUCACUACACAGUGUAUUUUUACAUAUAUAACGACAC